AUUAGACAUUGGGCCGGAUUAAAAAUGGGCUGAAGGGUAUAAGGGCUCGUUUAAAUUAGAAGGGAACGUUGUAGAAAACAAGAGUAGACCAGUGUCAAACGGGCCGAAGGAAAACAAAUCCUUAAUGGACCUACAUUUCCAGACCCAAAACUCAAUCGUUUUGGCAAACCGGUCCGACUUUUGCUAGAACCCGGCCCAAUUUUCAUAAGUGGCAAGUGAAACGAUGUAUCGGGUCGGUUUCUUGCGGUUCGUAGCCUGCUACCGUAUUGCACCUCCGGUAGGUGUGGCGGCCAAUGUCCGGCCGGAGUUUUCCCCAUAGGCGAUGGAUGGGAGAUUUGGGUUGGGUGACUCCGACGAAAACCCAUCGCCAAAUGAAAGUGCAUAUGGAUCUAAAACGAGCUCUAUUAUGGCAGUUGCUCCAAGACUUUGUAUUGGACUAAGAAUGAAUUUGCCCACCUGAGAAGAAAAUUUGAGACUCUUGUCCGGAUGGAGAGGAAGAUCAUUGAUCUUGAAAGUGCACCUUGAAGGAAACUGAAACCUAUCUGAAGGGGUCCCAUAUGAUAUUCCCAGCUAAAUAAUGUCUUUGAGUUGAAAUCUGAAAUGUAGUCUCAGGGUUGGACUAGAGAAUUUGAUGGAUAAAUCAACUUUGUCGUAUGUGGUCUAUCUGUAUCUAUAUGUUAACUUGACAUCAUGUUUGGGAAGUUGGUUAAAAUCUAGUUGCACCAACUAAUAACUUGCUCAUAAUAAUUGUUUUUCCUCAAAUGUGCUAAGUCCAUGGAGAUUUUGUUGAUAUUUGCAAUAAGUUACUCUAGAAUGCCCUCAAAAUGUUAGAACCAGAAAUGUUACUUGAUUCCCUGGACCCAACUAUGCAUGUAAGGUUAGAAAGCUGUUUAGCUUUCCUGUCUUGAUACAGUCAUUAGUCAUUUUAUUAAGAGAGAGUGAAUAGUGGCAUUGUCCUCAAAUGUGCGCAGCCCGUGGAGAUAACAUUAGAAAUCAGUUCUACAAUUCCCUUAAAUGGUUGAACCUGGAAUGUUGGUGGAUACCCACGCCUUAGCCUUGUACGUAAAAUUACCAACCUGCUCAGUUUUUUGUCUUAUAUGGUCAUCAGUCAGGUCAGUUCAAGCAUGAGAGUCAUGCCUUAUAAUUUUAUGUCUAUAUCAUAAAAUGCCCUUUGUGAUUGCAUCAAAAAUCAUUAAGAAGUAGCCAAUCUGAUUAUCCUAUAUCUGUUGUUUCUUUCAGUUACCUAUUCUUGCUAAUUGGUUCUUCAUUCAGUCAGUUGUGGGUGGGCAUGAAAAUAAUCUAAUGCUGGAGAGAAAAAAGGGAAAUGCAAUGGACUAGCAAGAUGUUUUUUGUAUCACCCUGAUAUUGGAGUCAGGUGUUUCACAAUUUGUGAACCACAUAGGGUAUGAAAGAUGCAAUUCGUUUUCCUUUAUGGGUUUAUGGAUCACUAGUCUUUGAAAACAGAGUUUAUGCAACAAAUUUGACCCAGCUGUUUUUCUUAAUGGGUUCCCUUGAUGCUUCUCUGAAUUUGGACUGAAGAUUAAUGGAAAAUAGAAAAGUGUAUGCCUAGUAGCAAAUAAUUAUAAUUAGUUUGACUCUCAGUGAUUUGAUUGAAAGGACAUUUUUUGUGUGUUGGAUCUCUAGAUGGAGAGAGAGAGAGAGAGAGAUGGGGGGCGAUAAAUUGAGAUUUCCCUUUCUUUUCUGGACCAUUUAGAAGUUCUUAGCCUUAGAUAUGGACCUUUUCCUUUUUCUUUUUCCUUCUUUGUGUGGGGUCUUUGUUGUAACUAUUUAUGUUGGAGUUUCACCAUCUUCCUUUAUUUACUUUCUUUUGGUCGAGUUUGAUUUUUUUAAAAGGAAUUGCCAUGUUUACUCAAAACACUCUUUAAGCUCCAAUUAGUCAAAAACAAAAAUAAUAGAAAGGUUUUAAAAUUGUGUUUCCUAUGAUCUAAUGUUUGUUACUUACUACCAAUAAUGGUAUAGAAAGAUAAUGCAGACAUAUUUGGAAGUUGGCACCCCUAUAUCAAAAAACCACCUCUAGCAAGCUCAAAGUCUCCAACCCCAACAAAUAAUUGUCAUUUUACAUUGUUUUCAAAACUAGUGGAUGCUAUUUAUGUAGUAGAAAGGCAACAUUAAAGUUUGCCUUAUAUGGUGACCCUCUAAUGAGGUAAGUAAAUAAAUGCUCAGCUAAAAAAAGAAGCGAACAUUUGAAAUUCUGUACUGUUACAUAAAAAGUGAAUGGAUUUAAUUUCAAAGAGAUUUCUGACUAAUCAAUUAUUGAAACUAAGGAAUUUACAUCUGUUAUCAGUAUUAACGUGAAUAACUGACAAAUAUUUUACUUUUUUUGCAACAAAAUAGUUGGCACUACAUUGGAGUUUGUUUGCUCCAAAGACGGGAAAUAUAAUUUCGAAUUUUCCUUAAACCUUACCCUUAUUAAUAUAAAUAGCCAUUUUAUCAGAAUUGACUUGAUAGAUUUGUUAUCUGGUCACAUCCCAGAAUAUUUGGCAAUGGUGGUUAUAGUUAUAACAAGUGUGCUUCUUUUAUUUACUUUUGUUUCUUCUGUUCCUUUUCUAUACCUCCUCUCCCUUUCUCGUGCCUCGUGGGGUGUUGAGUCCUUUAUUGGGUGGUAGUCGUUAUGUGCACUUACAAACUUAAAUGGGAUAAUAGAGAAUCCCAACACAACCUCGUUUUUAUGGUACCUUAUACCAAAAGAAUUAUACCAAAAGAUUAAAUCAUCAAGAAGUGAGUCAACAAUGUAUGUCAUGCUCAGAUAUACACUAACAAUUGUUCAUCAUGUUAAGUGGAACGAGAAGUGCACCUAAUUGUAAGCGCAUAUAAUUUAAGUGCUUUACAUACCAGAAUGUUAUUUACUGCUAUAAAAUCUUUUGAUGGUAUAGUAAAUCUGCACUUGCCUUAAAUCAUUAAAUGUAUUGAUUGAGAGCAGUAAAUUCUUUCAAGUUUUUAUGGUAAUGUUGUUAAAAUUAGAUUCUCUAGAACCUAAACAUGUAAGCGUACAUUUGUUUGCAACUGAUUAGGGCUUUACAUAGGAUUCUUCUAAGUUUUGGAAUUUGCAGUUGUGAAGCCAUCCAAUAAAGUUUUGCCACCUAGAUAUCAAUUCCAGAAAAGGAAUACAUUUUGUCAUUUCCUUCAAGAAAAGAUAGAUAUUCAAUUUUAUGCUUUGCACCGGGGUAGUUUGUUGUCAUGACUUGGUACAUUGGCCGAUUAUUAUAAGAAUAACUUUUGAUUUAUGGAUUGUGACACUCUAAUGGAUUACCAUUGACAGCGGUGUUGUAAACGCCCGACAGUUUGGAGUUUGAAUCAUCUGAAGGGCGGCGCCACUGGGGGAAUAAGCUGCUAUUGAGCUGCUGCUACAGGAGUUUUUUAUCCUUACCACAUUAUUCCAUGAUUGCUUUUAUGGAGAUUUCUCUCUUUAUAACUCCAUAUAUCUAGGUAUGUAAUAUGAUGCAAGUCCAGAGUGAUGAUUUGACAGAAAUAUUGUGAAGGGUCAAUUUCUCAUUGGCAUGGCAAAGAUGUUAAUUUAGAAAUUGUAGGUGUUAUAUCUACAAGGCAUCAUGCUAAACUCAUGGUAGUCUGACGCACAUUGUUGUCAUCUGCAGCUCAUUUUUCCUUUUAGGCCUCAUGCUGAAGCAAGUAUGUCUCAUGCAUAAUUGUUUCCUUCUCACCACUGCUUAAACUUUUCUUUUAGCUUCUGUUAUUUAGGGUAUCUGCCACUAUUUUAUACAGAAUGGCCUUGUCUAUUCUUAAAGAACUGCUCCAAGAAUAUGUGCAAUCAUUGUUUGAUGAGGUGAUAUAUUCUUUUUCAUUUUGUUUUUGGUUCUGCUGUGAUGUCUUCUUUGCCAAGGAUCCCUUUUGCUCUUACUCUGUUGAGAUUUAUAUAUUGUUGGGUGUUGAAAUGAUAUCAUGUGCUUGUAUAAGAUGAAUCCAGACUUGGAUUCUCCCAGUUAUCUAGGCUUUCAAUUCUUAGAUAUCUGUUUUAUAAUUGAAUACUGACACCUUGUAAUAAAUUAAUUCAUCUAUUUAAUAAUAUUUGUAUAUUAAUACAAGUUCGAUUUUAUUUGAAAAAUAUAUAGAUUUAAUUUUGAAUGAGAUGCAACAUGUAUUCUGCCUUAAAAAUUCGUUUGGAAAAGAAAGUUUAGGUGCUUGGCAAGGUGGAUUGAUGUCAUUAAUUUCAGGGAAUAAUAAGCAAUCAGUUUUCUCAUAUUCAGUCUUUGGAAAGUUUGGAGGAACCUGAGCAUGUUGUGCAGGUGAUCGAUACGUACCUCAUUGAUGUCGAAACAAUUUUAUCAGAAUUAACAAGCUACAUGUACCUCCAUACUCGAUCAAGUUUAUUUAGUUUGAUUAUCAAUGUUACACCUACUUUCGAUUAUUUCUUGUUCGUAUGUCUAUAUCUGCAGGGAUUGUCCUGAAGUCGACUUCUCUACAUUGGCUACGCUUUCUAACAAAGUAGAGGAGAGAAGCUUGAGCAUCGGUGCCGAGCAUGUGAGACUUGCAUGUGCCGAUCUCAUUCACGCUUGUGAUCAGAUGAACAAGGAAAAGGAAGGAGAUUCCAACUUGGCUGCAAAGGCUGAAAAUUUAGUCUGCAAUGCAUCCAAGAAGUUUCUCCAAAGCCUUAAUUUGGGUACAGAAUGAUUUUUCACAAACCCGAAACAAGCUGGAGGUGUAUGCUCAGAUGAAAAAAAGACUCUGUGCGUGUCUUAAACUCAGAUGCUCACAACAUAAAACCCAAGUGUGGAGCUUCAAAUCAAACUAAUCCAGGAGAUGAGGGAAUCCAUAAGAAUGGUGCGGAGGAUUAUCAGAGUUAAGAGCAGACAGAAAAAGUAGAGCUCUUGUGGUAUCAAACUCUCUUUCAGUUUUAUGGGAUGAAGCUCCUGAGAAUGUAAUGUUUUCCUUAUGGAAGUGAAGGUUUAGAAUAAUUUGUAUUAAAAUUUGUGAUAGUCACUGCUUCAUCUACAUGGUUGCAUUGACUUAUAAAAAAAAAUCUACAUGGUUGCAUGUAUUCUCACAAGGGAUGCUAUAUGAACAGUGGCUUCUUUGUCUACUUUAAUCAAGUUCUCCUUCAGAUUCCUAAAACAA